GUGCUCCCAAAAUUAGGAAAACAGUUUUCACUUGACCAUGACCUCAUUUUACGUGUUCGUGUUAUGUGUUCGUGGUUUAGACAAAAUCUUAGAUACCAAAUGCAAUAGUUCUUCUAUUAUUUUUGGUUGUAUGGAACGAUUUUAAUGUCUAAAUGUCCACUUCACAGGUGUCAUCUGACCUUGACAUCAUUUUCAGGGUUAAGUGGUCCGGCAAAGUAAAAUGUUUGUGUUUUGGUGUAUUUCUCGGAUACUAUAAGCAUUUAGUUAAAUAUAUAUUUGAGGUAUGGAAUUUUUGUAUGGUGAAAUUGUCUAUCUUGCAAUUAUAUUAAUCUGACCUUGAUUUUAUAUUCAUGGUUCAUUGGUCCAUGUUAUUUGAUUCUUGUUUGGUCUGUUUUUCAGAUACUAUAAGGAAUAAAUUAACUAUAUUUGUUUUAAGGAAUGAUUGUAAUGUAUAUAUAUUUGGCUGGUUGCUAUCAUCUGACCUUGACUUUGUUUUCAUGGUUUAUGGUUAAUGUUAAAUAUCUCAGAAUUGGUCUAUUUUUCAGAUACGAUGAUAAAGGUAUAGUUAAACUGUAUUUAAUGUACAAAAUAAUUAUAAGGCGCGCAAAUCAUAUAAGGUUUGUUUCUCAGAUACAUUUGGUUCUUCAAUACAGCAAGAAAAAAUCCCACACCCAAAUGCGUGUUUCAGCUGGCCUAUAAACAAAAAUAUGGACUAUAUAAAAAAGAAGAUGUGGUAUGAUUGCCAAUGAGACAACUAUCCACAAAAGACCAAAAUGACACAGACUUUAAC
rnacentral:lncRNA from 1 species